ACCACGUGAUCACCCACGCUUGCAGUUCAGAGUCGCUGAGACAACAGGAACAGCAGAUGCUGGAGCAUCUGAGAUGACACGGUGUGUAGCUGGAUGAACACAGCAGGUCAAGCAGCAUCAGGCGAGCAGGAAAGCUGAUGUUUCGGGCCUAGAUCCUUCGCUGAGACCAAGAUUUGUGCAAUUGAGAUACCAGCGAUCGUUGCCAAAGCCCUGUUACCUGUGGAGAAGAUGAUGUUUAACUUUCGUGUCCUGCUGCAUUUUGUAUGCUGAAGGACUGUGCGGUAGUCGCUGUUAUCAAUCCUGACAGGGACAGAUGCAUCUGCAGCUGGGAAAUUCGUGACAAUGAGAUCUGCUAUGUUUUUCCCUUCUGUUGGUUGUGUCAGCACCUGCUGCAGUCCCAGCCAAGCAGCUUUGAUGAGCUUGAUUGGUAAUCCUGAUGCUGAACUACUCCUGAUGGUCGACAAUGUGGAAAUCACUGGCUGGACCAACAUUUAUUGCCCAUCCCUCAUUGCCCCAAAGGCAGUUAAGAGUCAACCACAUUGCUGUGGGUUUGGAGUUGCAUGUCAUGCAGACCAGGUAAGGAUGGCAGAUUUCCUUCCCGAAAGGACAUAAGUGAACCUGAAUAAUCAGCAAUGGUUUCAUGGUCAUCAUUUGACUAUUAAUUCCAGAUCAUUAUUUAAUUCAAAUUUCACCAUUUGCCGUGGCAGGAUUCGAACCCAGGUCCCCAGAAUGUUAUCUGGGUCUCUGGAUAAAUAAUCUAGCGAUAAUACUGCUGCCGAUUUUAUCAACUGAGGGAGGAUGGUCCAUGGCAUUCAGCAGGAGCCAUGAGACUUCCAGGCGUAAGAGUCAAUGUCAAGUACUCCCAGGUCCGUUCCCGCGAUCAGAAUAGCACUGUGCUGCCACGUCCGUCCUGCUCCUGGGACAGGCCUUCACUCAGGACAGUGGUGGCGUGUGUCACUUGUCUGUAAGGUAGAUUCUAUGCAAAUGAAGCUGUUUCUUGACUAGUCUUGGAGCCACCUCUCCAAAUUUUGCCACUCGCCCCGAGAUAUUAGUAAGGAGGAAUUUAUGGAGUCGACAGGGCUGAUUCUGCAGUUGUCUUUCCUCGUGCCUUGGUAGAUGCCGAGUGGUCCACCCAGCUUCAUUCCUUUGAGACUUUACAGUCACUUGCAACUGAGUGGCUUGCUGAGGUUGGCAAAUUUUUUUCCCUGAUGGACAUUAGAUUUUUUUCUUUUUCUGCCAUUAGCAAUGGUUCCAUGGCAACCAGUUGAUUCUUAAUUCCAGUUUUUUUAUUGAAUUCAAAUUCCACCAUCUGCUAAGAUGGAAUUCAAACCCAGACUUCUGUUGUACAUUUUAAUAUUCUGGAUAAAAGUUAAUUCAUCAGGUUUGUUCACUCAUUUUUGAAUAUCUCUAACACAGGCAUUGUUUCUUUGCAAACCGUUGUCCAUCAUCCUGUCUCUUCAAUCCUCCCCUCCAACCAAAAGUGAGGGAGUCAUAUGGAAACUCCAUCUCACUGAGAUUGCGACAAUCCAAAUCGGAUGCCUUUGCUGCUUCCCUCUCUUCCACUCGCCCACCAAACUAAAUUGCCUUGCACGUUGCUCAUCGUUUUAGUCCUAAUCUUUCUCCAGUCUCAUGUAAGCCUUAACAGAGUUUGUCUUAAUCCUUUGCCCUAUUGUCGCUAAACUACAAACAUUCUAACUCUCUCUUAUUUCUCCUCCUGCUCCUCCUCCUCCUUGCCUCUGCCCCCAUGCCAGUUUAGAUAUUGUCACUUGUUCUGUCUACUUCUCUUUUCUGGUUAGGUCCUUCUCACCUGUUCUGUUUAAAACCAAUAUUUGACCUCACUGUCGUUGGAAAAUCCCACUCCAUCUCUCUCUUUCCUGUCUGAAAUCCAUGUAGUUGAUGUCCCUCAAGGAUCUGUCCUUGGCUCAUGCUGUUUCUCACUGACAUACCGCCAGGAGGUGAGAUCUUCCACAAGCACCAUGUUAGGUUUUGCACGUAUACUACAAUAUUCAGAUCUAACUCCCCUCCAUCUCUCUCCUUUGCUCCACUGUUACUCAAUUAUAAAACUGCUUGUCAUGAUUCCACUACGUGAUUAGCUGAAAUUUCCUCCAAUAACACUUUGUGAAAAUUAAAC